ACCGUGAAGAAACCUGAACGGGCAGGAACAGGUGUCGGAUCUCUGGGGGGUGCGGAUCAAAGCCGUGCGAGUUUGGACAUAAAAAAACCGGCCUCACCUGUGCUGAACGCCGAGGCGACCGUUAGAGCGACCGACAGCGGCUGCUGUGAGAGUCAGGAUGGCGGUGCACAGCCCAUGCCCGCAUGACAAAAGUCCAAACACAUGAUAGGCAGCCCACAGGCCCUGAGGAACCGGAUCUAGCAGCGUGAAUACCACUGCAAGACCUGAGAGCAGAGCAAAACCUCCGAUUCAGCGGGAUGCAUCUGCUGCCGUGGUAGGCCAUGAAGACCAGCAUGUAGAGAAACAUCGAUGCUGCACCUGCAGACACAACGCUGGCCUGCUGGCUCCACGCGCCCCGAGGCAAAGAUCGGGUUUCAUCCCGCGAUCAUCAGGUCCGCUAACUUUGGUGUUACGUUACAAUCUAUAUCCGUUGUCCCUAACUUUUGUUGUGUCCAUUAAUGUUGAUGUUUUACUACCAUCUAUUCUAAUCGAAUUCUCAUAUUUUCGUAGCACUGCGUGGAUUUUUGGGAUAAUGGUAUAAAAAUUAUAUGUAAGUAAUUUUGAUAUCAGGCAAAUUGAGUAAACAUAACAUUUUCAGAUGAUUGUUUAGUUCGUAAAGCAAACAGAAGGAAAAACUUAUCCAAAUCAAUGUAACUGGUUGUGCCAGAUUUUACAAUAAAUGCCAAUAAGUGUUUAGCAACACAGGGGAGUAACUUGGCCCACUUUUCUUUGCAGUAUUGUUUUAUUUCAGCCACACUGGAGGAUUCUCAAGCAUGAACAGCCUGUUUAAAAUCACGGCAAAGCAUCUCAAUCAGACUUAAGUCCGGAAUUUGACUAGACCACUUUUUUUUUUUUGCCAUUUGGAUCAUUAUGUAAGUAUGCUUUAUCUUAAGGUCAUAAACUGAUGUCAGACAUCAAUUGUGGUAAAUCACCCUGGUCCUGAAGCAGCAGAACAGCCACAGACCAUCAUACUACCACCACCAUGUCUGACUAUAGGUAUGUCACAGGACACAAACCUUUCAAAA